rnacentral:rRNA from 1 species
GAGUUUGAUCAUGGCUCAGGAUGAACGCCGGCGGUGUGCCUAAUACAUGCAAGUCGUACGCACUGGCCCAACUGGUUGAUGGUGCUUGCACCUGAUCGACGAUGGAUCACCAGUGAGUGGGCGGACGGGUGAGUAACACGUAGGUAACCUGCCCUGUACAGGGGGAUAACAAUCAGAAAUGACUGCUAAUACCGCAUAAGACCACAGCACCGCAUGGUGCAGGGGUAAAAACUCCGGUGGUACAGGAUGGACCCGCGUCUGAUUAGCUGGUUGGUGAGGUAACGGCUCACCAAGGCGACGAUCAGUAGCCGGCUUGAGAGAGUGAACGGCCACAUUGGGACUGAGACACGGCCCAAACUCCUACGGGAGGCAGCAGUGGGGAAUAUUGCACAAUGGGGAAACCCUGAUGCAGCAACGCCGCGUGAGUGAAGAAGUAUUUCGGUAUGUAAAGCUCUAUCAGCAGGGAAGAAAGUGACGGUACCUGACUAAGAAGCCCGGCUAACUACG